rnacentral:rRNA from 1 species
UACGAAGGGGGCUAGCGUUGUUCGGAAUUACUGGGCGUAAAGGGCGCGUAGGCGGUACUUCAAGUCAGGCGUGAAAGCCCCGGGCUCAACCUGGGAACCGCGCUUGAGACUGGAGAACUAGAGUUCGGGAGAGGAUGGUGGAAUUCCCAGUGUAGAGGUGAAAUUCGUAGAUAUUGGGAAGAACACCGAUGGCGAAAGGCAGCCAUCUGGACCGACACUGACGCUGGAGGCGCGAAAAGCGUGGGGAGCAAACAGG